AGCUAUCUGCAGUCGACGGGAUUUGAGUAGCAUACUUUGAUGAGAGUGGCGCACGGGUGCGUAACGCGUAUGCAACCUACCUUUAACAGGGAGAUAGCCCCGAGAAAUCGGGAUUAAUAUUCCAUAACAUUGCGAAUUGGCAUCAAUUUGCAAUUAAAGUUCCGGCGGUUAAAGAUGGGCAUGCGUGACAUUAGCUAGUUGGUGAGGUAACGGCUCACCAAGGCAACGAUGUCUAGGGGUCCUGAGAGGGUUAUCCCCCACACUGGUACUGAGACACGGACCAGACUCCUACGGGAGGCAGCAGUAAGGAAUAUUGGUCAAUGGGCGCAAGCCUGAACCAGCCAUGCCGCGUGCAGGAAGACGGCCCUAUGGGUUGUAAACUGCUUUUGUCAGGGAAUAAACCUGUUUACGAGUAGACAGCUGAAGGUACCUGAAGAAUAAGCAUCGGCUAACUCCGUGCCAGCAGCCGCGGUAAUACGGAGGAUGUAAGCGUUAUCCGGAUUCAUUGGGUUUAAAGGGUGCGCAGGCGGAUUAUUAAGUCAGGGGUGAAAUCCCACGGCUCAACCGUGGAACUGCCUUUGAUACUGAUAGUCUAGAGUAUAGUUGAAGUUGGCGGAAUGUGUCAUGUAGCGGUGAAAUGCUUAGAUAUGACACAGAACACCGAUCGCGAAGGCAGCUAGCUAAGCUAUAACUGACGCUCAUGCACGAAAGCGUGGGGAUCAAACAGGAUUAGAUACCCUGGUAGUCCACGCUGUAAACGAUGAUUACUCGAUGUUGGCGAUACACAGUCAGCGUCUGAGCGAAAGCAAUAAGUAAUCCACCUGGGGAGUACGAUCGCAAGAUUGAAACUCAAAGGAAUUGACGGGGGCCCGCACAAGCGGAGGAGCAUGUGGUUUAAUUCGAUGAUACGCGAGGAACCUUACCUGGGCUCGAACGUAAGAUGACUGUAGGUGAAAGCUUACAUCUCUUCGGAGCAUUUUACGAGGUGCUGCAUGGUUGUCGUCAGCUCGUGCCGUGAGGUGUCGGGUUAAGUCCCA
rnacentral:rRNA from 1 species